CAGUCGCCGCGGUAAUACGUAGGUGGCAAGUGUUGUCCGGAAUUAUUGGGCGUAAAGGGCUCGCAGGCGGUUUCUUAAGUCUGAUGUGAAAGCCCCCGGCUCAACCGGGGAGGGUCAUUGGAAACUGGGAAACUUGAGUGCAGAAGAGGAGAGUGGAAUUCCACGUGUAGCGGUGAAAUGCGUAGAGAUGUGGAGGAACACCAGUGGCGAAGGCGACUCUCUGGUCUGUAACUGACGCUGAGGAGCGAAAGCGUGGGGAGCGAACAGGAUUAGAUACCCCAGUAGUCCCUGUCUCUUAUAC
rnacentral:rRNA from 1 species